rnacentral:lncRNA from 1 species
GUGCUGCUCGGUGCCGUGCAACCCUGCACCGUGCCCUGCUGCACCGUGCAACCCUGCUGCACCUUGCAGUGCUGCACCGUGCAACCCUGCACCAUGCAACCCUGCACCAUGCAAUGCAGCCCUGCACCGUGCAAUGCAGCCCUGCACCGUGCCGUGAUGCGCCGUGCAAUUCUGCACCCUGCCGUGCAAUUUUGUGCUGUGCAACCCUGCCCUGUGCUAUUUUGCACCAUGCUGUGCUACCUUGCACCGUGCAAUUCUGCACCCUGCCAUGCAAUCCUGCAUCAUGCCGUGCUGCCUUGCACCGUGCCAUGCUGCACCCUGCAAUUCUGCCCUGUGCCGUGCGACCUCGUGCCGUGCUACCUUGCACCGUGCCAUUUUGCACCAUGCAAUUCUGACCCCGUGCCGUGCAAUCCUGCCCCGUGCUGUGCUGCCUUGCACCAUGCAAUUCUGCACCCUGCCAUGCAACCCUGCAUCGUGCCGUGCUGCCUUGCACCGUGCCAUGCUGCACCGUGCAAUCCUGCCCCAUGCCCUGCAAUCCUGCCCUGUGCCACGCUCCCUUGCUCCAUGCCACCAUGCACCGUGCAAUCCUGCACCAUGCAGCACCACCUUGCUCCAUGCCGUGCUGCACCGUGCAAUUCUGCACCCUGCCAUGCACUCUUGCACCAUGCCAUCCUGCCCUGUGCCAUGCUACCUUGCACCGUGCUGUGGUUCCUUGCCCCGUGCCAUGUUGCACCGUGCAAUUCUGCACCGUGCUGUGCAACCUUGUGCCGUGCUCCCUUGCUCCAUGCCGCCAUGCACCGUGCAAUCCUGCACCAUGCAGCGCUGCCUUGCACCCUGCAAUUCUGCACCGUGCAACCCUCCCCCAUCCCACGCGGGCCCCCUGUGUCCCCCCCCCCCCGGCAGCUGGCCCCAGCUCGCCUCGGCAGCGCCCGGGCUCGGUGCAAGGGAGCCCCCCCGGAGCCCCCGGAGCCCCCGGAGCCCCCGGAGCAUGAUGUCCUACAUCAAGCAGCCCCACUACGCCGUCAACGGGCUCACCCUGGCCGGGCCGGGCAUGGACCUGCUGCACACCGCCGUGG